ensembl:lncRNA
GAAAUGAUUGGGGUAAAAUUGUUCAUUCUCAGGUAACCUUCUGACAAUUUUCACUCUAUGUGCCUUUUCUAUUAAAUUAUGUGUGUCUCUUAUGGUGCAAGACAGAUCUAAAUCUUCCAUGGGAAACCAUUGUCAGCAUCUAGGUCUGAUCUGUUUGUUGGACUUUACAUUUGGGGGUCACUACUAUACACCUAAAUUAUACAGUACUUGGGGUAGGAAAAAUGCCUUUUCCGUAGAAGGGACAGUAUAUGUAGACACUCAGCAACUCCUGUCAAAUAUCCUCCACCAGUCUUGUGGUUUUCAUAUACAAAAAUGUUGUAUUAUGUGACUUGAAGACUCUUGUUUAGGCUUACUUGUAAUUUGCUCUAUUAAACCCAACAAAUAGAAUUAAUUUGUUACUAAUAGGUAACUUUUGUGUGUGUGGGUUUUCAGCUAAGUAAUAUUUAUCUAUCUGCCUGUCUAUCUAUGCCCAGGUUAAGCAAAUAUAUAUAUAUGUAUACACACACACACAUAUAUAUACAUACACACAUAUAUAUAUAUGUAUAUAUAUACAUAUAUAUAUAUAUAUGCAUGGUUUAGGAAGCAUUUGACCUCUCUCUACACCCUCUCUCUCUCCGUUCCUCAGUCCUCUUGUAUUAUAAUCAGGACUGACAUACAAAAGUCCAUUUAGGGGAUGUAUCUUGUUUUAAAAAAUACUACUGUUGGUGUAUUAAUUUUGCUCCAAUGUUUAACACAUAUGAUGCUUUUAAAAAUCUAUUUAUUUUUACUUUGUGUGCAUUGGUAUUUUGGCUGCUUAUACGUCUGUGUGAGGCUGUUAGAUCCUGGAGUCAUAGUCAGUUGUGAGCUGCCAUGUGAGUGCUGGAAACUGAACCCCAGUCCACUGAACUAUUUCUCCAGCCACCCCUAGACCCCGUUCUUUUAAAGGCAGUCUUCCUAUGUGUUGCCAGACUGGUCUGGAAUUCUCCCCCCUCCUGGUCUUUGCCUCCAGUGUGCUGGGAUUAUGGAAGUGUGAAAUCGUGCUAGGUUGGGAUUCUCAAGAGAAUAAACAGCCUAAUGUUUCUCUUCAUAUUUAGUUACAUCGAGGAGUUUCUGCAUGAGUUACACAGCUUGGACUAAUCAAUUUACCAGAGAGAUGUCAAUACGAUUAUACCAUUAAAAGGAAUGAAAGGAAUGCACCUAAUAAAAUUGCCACAUAUGUUAUUGCCUCUUCAAUAUAACGCCCCAAACAGUAACUUUUGUAACUAAGAAGCACACUUACAAAACCACCAUUAUUACUUAAUAGAAAAUUGUAUUGUUUUGCUCUUAAUGUAUACUAAUAUAUCUCCAGAUCAAUGAAAUCUAAGUUCAAGAUGAAGAUGAUAUGUGGAUAUAAUAUACAGAGGCAUUUUUGACUUGAGGCAGCUCAAUAUUUUAUAAGAAAAAUGCCGAAGGGUUGAGCUCUAGUCCAGUACCAGGGUACUUACUGGUCACCAUGAGGCUACAGUUCCAUUCUUCCAGACCUAACUCAGCAUUUUUAUAUCAAAAAGUAUGUCAUUUAGGGAAGUUUCAGGAUGAAACCCUGCAGGAGGGGAAAAAAUUGAAUUUCUUAAUGCACAGUUGCUUCUAUAUCAGUUUCAGCUUUAAUUUUGUAUCUGAAGGAUAAAAACACACAAAUCGAAUAUACAGUACAAUUAUGCUGGCUGCUAGCUAUAUGAGAGUAAGUUUAUCAUAUAUGCAAUUCACAUAAAGCACAUACAACUAUGUUCUGGGACAUAUAUGUUUUCACUUGUGGGUUCAUCUUUGCAUGCAAAUAAAAAUCUCACUGCAAUAACGUUCUAUAGUGAGGAUGCUCAGUGAUUUUUUUUCGUGAACACAUACUUUAAUAACAUGCAUUUUAUGAGUUAGAAUCGCAGCAAACCCACAAAGUGAACAGAUUCUAGUUUAAUCUAUUAUCGUUUUUUGCUGGUGUAGCAUACGAUGAUUCACUCAAUACUUUAAUGUCAACUUGUUGAUUAAAAUAGAAUGCAUAAUUCAAUUUUCUAUGGGGACUUCCUCGGAGGAAGGCUGGGAAUGAGUUAUUCUGAAAAGAGACUUCAGGGCGAGAAAAUACUGGAAAUUACCUAAGUGAAAUUUAAUUAAUUUGGUUUCCUAAUUGUAGAUUUGAAAGAGUAUCAGGAAGGGCUAUUUAUUGUACCACAUCAACCAAUUCUCUGUGAUAAACAGAGAGAGAAAAUACCCAGUGCCAAUUUUACACGUCAAGGGCACAGCUCAGAGGUUGGUAAUGUCUACCCUGGUGGAAGAUAAAAAUGGAAAAAUUAUUUUCAGCAGUUUUAUCAUGGAAAAUUUGCUUUUAAACUCAAGUAUUUUCUUUUCAAGCCUUUAUUUUAAAACAGAUGCUACCAGGCAGGGAACAUAUAUAAUGCAGUUCUUGCCUUACCCGUGUGCUUUUGAGAGGGCUAUGAAACUACCAAUUCUUUCAUUUCAGGGUUGAAAAAAAAAAAAAAA